rnacentral:rRNA from 1 species
AAUCAACGCUGGCGGCGUGCCUCAGACAUGCAAGUCGAACGCGAAAGAGGGCUUCGGCCCUUGAGUAGAGUGGCGCACGGGUGAGUAACACGUGGGUAAUUUACCUUUGGGUGGGGAAUAACAGUCGGAAACGGCUGCUAAUACCGCAUAAUGCAGCGGCUCCACAUGGAGACAGUUGUUAAAGCGGGGGAGCGAGCAAUCGCCCUCGCGCCUGAAGAGAAGCCCGCGGCAGAUUAGCUAGUUGGUGAGGUAAUGGCUCACCAAGGCUUCGAUCUGUAGCCGGCCUGAGAGGGCGGUCGGCCACACUGACACUGAAUAACGGGUCAGACUCCUACGGGAGGCAGCAGUCGGGAAUUUUGGGCAAUGGGCGCAAGCCUGACCCAGCAACGCCGCGUGAAGGAUGAAAUCUUUCGGG